GACGAACGCUGGCGGCGUGCUUAACACAUGCAAGUCGAACGGUGAAGCACCUUCCUUUUGGUGGGUGUGGAUGAGUGGCGAACGGGUGAGUAACACGUGAGUAACCUGCCCCCUUCUUCUGGAUAACCGCAUGAAAGUGUGGCUAAUACGGGAUAUUCUGUGCCUGCUGCAUGGUGGGUGUGGGAAAGAUGCGCUUUUGGGUGUUUUUGGUGGGGGAUGGGCUCGCGGCCUAUCGGCUUGUGGGUGGGGUGAUGGCCUACCAAGGCGGUGACGGGUAGCCGGCCUGAGAGGGUGGACGGUCACACUGGGACUGAGACACGGCCCAGACUCCUACGGGAGGCAGCAGUGGGGAAUAUUGCACAAUGGGCGCAAGCCUGAUGCAGCGACGCCGCGUGAGGGAUGGAGGCCUUCGGGUUGUAAACCUCUUUCGCCAGUGAAGCAGGCCUGUCCCUUGUGGGUGGGUUGACGGUAGCUGGAUAAGAAGCGCCGGCUAACUACGUG
rnacentral:rRNA from 1 species